GCGUCAUUAGCUCAGUUGGUUAGAGCAGCUGACUCUUAAUCAGCGGGUCCGGGGUUCGAGUCCCUGAUGACGCACCC
rnacentral:tRNA from 2 species